UUUUGGAGUCACUUUCCCCCCUUUUUCUGGUCUGUCUUGCAAUGUAGGAGUAUGGUGUAAGUUUAGGAGAUACAUGAAGGAAAUAAGAGUUGAUUGUUCUUGUGGGUAGAAAACUUGAAGGGGAUUGAGGAGUGACCAUAACUCAAGGAUGUGCUAAUUGGAAUGAGUUAUAUUUUGGGAGCAUAACAGACAGUACCACUGACCCUGUACUCCCAGCUGAGCAGUAAAGAGCCUCAUUGAAGAUCCAGAACUUGAAACUUUAUUUUGAGUAACUGUUAGCUAAUGUAAACUCAAAAGUACAUUUAUGUCUUUACUUUUAGAAUUUGAUGCUCCACGUAAUCUA